GAUGAACGCUGGCGGCGUGCCUAAUACAUGCAAGUCGAGCGAACAGACGAGGAGCUUGCUCCUUCGACGUUAGCGGCGGACGGGUGAGUAACACGUAGGUAACCUACCUAUAAGACUGGGAUAACUUCGGGAAACCGGAGCUAAUACCGGAUAAUAUUUCGAACCGCAUGGUUCGAUAGUGAAAGAUGGCUUUGCUAUCACUUAUAGAUGGAUCUGCGCCGUAUUAGCUAGUUGGUAAGGUAACGGCUUACCAAGGCAACGAUGCGUAGCCGACCUGAGAGGGUGAUCGGCCACACUGGAACUGAGACACGGUCCAGACUCCUACGGGAGGCAGCAGUAGGGAAUCUUCCGCAAUGGGCGAAAGCCUGACGGAGCAACGCCGCGUGAGUGAUGAAGGUCUUCGGAUCGUAAAACUCUGUUAUUAGGGAAGAACAAACGUGUAAGUAACUAUGCACGUCUUGACGGUACCUAAUCAGAAAGCCACGGCUAACUACGUG
rnacentral:rRNA from 1 species